rnacentral:rRNA from 1 species
AGUGAACGCUGGCGGUAUGCCUAACACAUGCAAGUCGAACGGCAGCACAGUAAGAGCUUGCUCUUACGGGUGGCGAGUGGCGGACGGGUGAGGAAUACAUCGGAAUCUACUUUUUCGUGGGGGAUAACGUAGGUAAACUUACGCUAAUACCGCAUACGACCUACGGGUGAAAGCAGUGGAUCUUCGGACCUUGCGCGAUUGAAUGAGCCGAUGUCGGAUUAGCUAGUUGGCGGGGUAAAGGCCCACCAAGGCGACGAUCCGUAGCUGGUCUGAGAGGAUGAUCAGCCACACUGGAACUGAGACACGGUCCAGACUCCUACGGGAGGCAGCAGUGGGGAAUAGUGGACAAUGGGCGCAAGCCUGAUCCAGCCAUACCGCGUGGGUGAAGAAGGCCUUCGGGUUGUAAAGCCCUUUUGUUGGGAAAGAAAAGCAGCAGGUUAAUACCCCGCUGUUCUGACGGUACCCAAAGAAUAAGCACCGGCUAACUUCGUG